UGAGUACGAGAUGCUACGGCAUCGAAGCAGUCUAUGUCAUACUUCCAAGAAAAGCUUGCAAUGUCAUAAACAAAUAAUGCCUGUACCAUAACCGACACAGGUGGGUAGGUAGAGUAUACUAAGGGGCGCGAGAUGACUCUCUCUAAGGAACUCGGCAAAAUGACUCCGUAACUUCGGGAGAAGGAGUGCCUUAUUUUUAUAAGGUUGCAAUAACAAGAUCCAAGCAACUGUUUACCAAAAACACAGGUCUCCGCUAAGUCGUAAGACGAUGUAUGGGGGCUGACGCCUGCCCAGUGCCAGAAGGUUAAAGAAGUUGGUUAGCAUUAGCGAAGCUGAUAACUGAAGCCCUGGUGAACGGCGGCCGUAACAAUAACGGUCCUAAGGUAGCGAAAUUCCUUGUCGGGUAAGUUCCACCCGCACGAAAGGCGUAAUGAUUUGGAUACUGUCUCGGGGAGGGGCUCGGUGAAAUAGACUUGUCUGUGAAGAUGCGGACUACCUGCACCUGGACAGAAAGACCCUAUGAAGCUUUACUGUAACUUGAGAUUGAAAUUGGACUUUAUCUGCGCAGUAUAGGUGGGAGACGUUGAAAAUAUUCUUGCGGGAAUAUUGGAGUCAUCAGUGAGAUACCACUCUUAUAAUGUUAGAUUUCUAACUUUGUAUCAUUAUCUGGUCAAAGAACAGUUUCAGGCGGGCAGUUUGACUGGGGCGGUCGCCUCCCAAACGGUAACGGAGGCGCACAAAGGUUUCCUCUGAACGUGUAGAAAUCGUAUCUAGAGUGUAAAGGCAUAAGGAAGCUUGACUGUGAGACCUACAAGUCGAGCAGGGACGAAAGUCGGUCUUAGUGAUCUGACGGUGCUGAGUGGAAAGGCCGUCACUCAACGGAUAAAAGUUACUCUAAGGAUAACAGGCUGAUCUCCCCCAAGAGUUCACAUCGACGGGGAGGUUUGGCACCUCGAUGUCGGCUCAUCGCAUCCUGGGGCGGUAGUACGUCCCAAGGGUUGGGCUGUUCGCCCAUGAAAGCGGUACGCGAGCUGGGUUCAGAACGUCGUGAGACAGUUCGGUCCAUAUCCGGUGUAGGCGUUAGAAUAUUGAGAGGAGCCUUCUUUAGUACGAGAGGACCGAGAAGGACAUACCUCUGGUGUACCAGUUAUCGUGCCAACGGUAAACGCUGGGUAGCCAUGUAUGGAGAGGAUAACCGCUGAAAGCAUCUAAGUGGGAAGCCCACCUCAAGAUAAGUAUUCUC
rnacentral:rRNA from 1 species